AGUGAACGUUGGCGGCGUGGACUAGGCAUGCAAGUCGAGCGAGAACCGUAGCAAUACGGGGACAGCGGCGAAAGGGACAGUAAUGUGUAGGUACCUACCUCCGGGUUCGGGAUAGAUGCGGGAAACUGCAGGUAAUCCCGAAUAACGACUCCGUACCAAAGGUGUGAUUCCACCUGGAGAGGCGCCUGCAUCCUAUUAGCUAGUUGGGGAGGUAACUGCUCACCAAGGCGACGAUGGGUAGCGGGUGUGAGAGCACGACCCGCGUCAUUGGGACUGAGACACGGCCCAGACACCUACGGGUGGCUGCAGUCGAGGAUCUUCGGCAAUGGGCGCAAGCCUGACCGAGCGACGCCGCGUGCGGGAUGAAGGCCUUCGGGUUGUAAACCGCUGUCGUAGAGGAGGAAAUGCAGGGGGGUUCUCCCCUCUGUUUGACCUAUUCUAGGAGGAAGGACGGGCUAAGUUCGUGCCAGCCGCCGCAGUAAUAC
rnacentral:rRNA from 1 species